rnacentral:rRNA from 1 species
AGUAAAUAGAUACCCGGGUAGUCCACGCCCUAAACCAUGCGCGCUGGAUCACGGCGGCUCUGACGUCGUCGGGAUCGCAGAGAAAUUGCUAAGCGCGCCGCCUGGGGAGUACGGUCGCAAGGCUAAAACUCAAAGAAAUUGACGGGGGCUCACACAAGCGGUGGAGCAUGUGGCUCAAUUCGAAGCAACGCGAAGAACCUUACCUGGGUUUGACAUGCAUGGAUUAGCUCCUGGAAACAGGAGUGACAAUCGCAAGAUCGGAACAUGCACAGGUGCUGCAUGGCUGUCGUCAGCUCGCGCUGUGAAGCGUCGGGUUAAGUCCUCUAACGAGCGCAACCCCUGCCGCUAGUUACCAUCGGGUUAUGCCGGGGACUCUAGCGGGACUGCCGGUGUCAAACCGGAGGAAGGCGGGGAUGACGUCAAGUCCUCAUGGCCCUUACAUCCAGGGUUGCACACGUGCUACAAUGGUGCAUACAAAGCGACGCGAGACCGCGAGGUGGAGCAAAUCGC